rnacentral:rRNA from 1 species
AUGGUCGCCCCCGGCGCCCUCUCCUCCGUCCGCUGGAACUGGAACUGGAACUGGAAGCAAGCGCCACUCAGCAGGUCAGCUCUCGUCCGUUCUGCCCGCGCCCUGCAGCUAGGCCUCCCUGUCAGUCGGCCCCCAUCACCGGCAGACCAGUACCUCGUGCGCGCGAGUCAGCGUCGUACAUCCUUGCAUCUGAUGGGAAUGUACGCGGCGCUCCGUGCGGCGCAAUGGGUGGUGGGCAAGGCACUAGCCCCCGUUGCCAAUGGCAUGCUAGGGGCUUGGGCAGCCACCAAGAACUUUGGUCCCAACGUCGAUGCCCUCAGCACAGAGUUGCUGCUCGUGAAGGCCACGCUUGAGCAAGCUGCCUACAAGGAGCUUGGAGGCCCGGCAAUGGAGAUGCUGCUGCAGAAGCUGCAGGACUCAGCGCAGAAUGCUGAAGACUUGUUGGAUGAGCUGGACUACUUUCGCAUCCACGAUGAGCUCCAUGGCACACACGAUGCUGCCGACCAGCACGGCGAAGGUGGCGUGCACAACCUCGCCCUCAAUGCUCGGCACACCGCCAAAGCUGUUGGCAAACUGGUCAACUGUUGCCCUUGGCAGCGUUCUAAGCGCCGACAGAGCUCACACGACGAUUCCUCCUCAGCGCAAGAUGCCAAUCAGGUGGUCAGGGGAUGCAUGCCCAAGCUCGGUAAACUCCUACCUUGCACAUUUUCCCCACAUUCACAUGUUCAUGGUGAUGAUGACGAUCAUGGCAAUGGGCAAGAAACACCAAAACUUGAGUUUAAUAGGGUUGAUUUCUCUCAAAGGAUGAAGGAUACUGUAGGGAAACUGCAGCUUAUGCGUAAUGAGAUUAACAAGAUUUUGCAGGGUUGUAGCCUUAGAACUGUCUCAAAUAUAGCCCAGAGCCGUCCCAUCACCAAAGGUCGAAUUGAUGAGCCAAAAUUGUACGGGAGGGACCGUGUCAUGAAUAGCACCAUACAUGAUAUCACCAAUGGUCAGUACUGUGGCAAGGGGCUAACUGUGCUUCCGGUUGUUGGUCCAGGGGGAGUGGGGAAGACAACUCUGAUACAACACAUAUAUGACAACCAACAAGUGCAGGAUCAUUUUCCAGUCAUGAUUUGGAUAUUUGUGUCCCUCGAUUUCAAUCUGGACAAGGUGCUAGAACAGAUUAAAAGAUCUACCCCUCAAGUUAGAAGUGAAAAAAAGUGCAGUACAACAGAAGAGUUGAUUGAAGAGAGAUUAAAAUCUAAAAGGUUCUUACUUGUCUUGGACGAUAUAUGGCGGAUUAGUAAUGGGGAUGACUGGGGGAAAUUAUUGUCAACACUCAAUCAAUCACAAGAAAAGGGUUGUAUCAUUCUAAUCACAACUCGGUUUCAAUCAAUAGCACAGAAUGUUAAAACAACUGCCGAGUCAAUAGAACUGGGUGGUUUAGAAUCUAAAGAGUUUAGGAAGUUAUUCCUUGCAUUUGUCUUUGGCAGUGAGCAAUGUGGAAAGGAUAAACAUUUUUUGCUUGAGACUGGAGAUAAGAUAAUGGAAAAACUAAAGGGAUCCCCUCUUGCAGCAAAGACCGUUGGUAGAUUAUUGAGUAAAGAUCUUAGUUUGUGUCAUUGGAAAAGGGUCCUAAAAAGCAAAGAAUGGGAGAAGCAGACCGAUGGCAAUGGAAUUAUGCCUGCCUUGAAGCUUAGCUAUGACUUUCUUCCUUUCCAUCUGCAACAAUGUUUUUUCUAUUCUGCAUUGUUUCCUGAAGAUUACCAUUUCAGAAGCCGUGAGCUCAUCAAUCUGUGGAUCGGACUAGAUAUUUUGAUACCUGGUGGUCAAAACCAAACAUGUGAAGAUAUAGGUUUGAGCAAUCUAAAUGCUUUAGUCAUCCAUGGAUUUUUUAGAGAAGAGGAAACUUCUGCUGGUCCGCGUUAUGUUAUGCAUGACCUACUGCAUGAUUUGGCAUUGAAGGUUGCAUCACAUGAUUGUCUUAGUUUACAUCUCCCUAAUGAUGGAUCAGUAGAAGUUCAGCCAUCAAUCCGUCACUUGUCUAUAAGCACAGAGGACUUAGUGAAAUAUGAUGCAGUGUCCAGUGAAAAGUUAAGGAGUGAAUUGGAAGAAAUAAAGACAAGAUUGAAGGUUGAACAUUUGCAUACACUGAUGUUAUUUGGAAAAAUGGAUGAAAGUUUUGCUGAGAUAUUUGGUGAUUUCUUUGGGGAAGCAAACGCUCUUCGUGUUCUUUAUUUGCCCAACAUGAUGUAUCCUGUGCAGUCCAUGUUACAUAACUUUUCAGGACUUGUCCACCUACGAUGCCUAUGUCUAGGGACAAGGGUGAGACAGAUGCAUUUACCAAUUAGCAUCUCCAAAUUCUACCAUUUAAGGAUUCUAGACCUUGUGUCAUGGGAAGGGAGUCGUGAUUUGCCUGAAGACAUGAGCAACCUUGCAAAGUUGUGCCAUAUUCAUAUUCGUUUUCAUCAGCGUCAUUCUGAUAUUUGUAAUGUGGGGAAAUUUAAACUCUUGGAAGAGUUAAAUGUAUUUCGAGUCCAUGAAGAAAGUAAAGGAUUUGAACCAAGUCAACUAGAGCAUUUGACCAAGCUAAGGGAGCUUGGCAUCUACAACCUUGAGAAAAUACAUACAAUAGAAGAAGCAGCUGAAGCAAAACUGAUAGAGAAAAACUACUUGAAGAGGUUAGCAUUGGUUUGGGAUAGUGGGCGCUCUAGUGUUGAGCCUGUUAUGGAAGCAUUGGUUCUUGAGAGCCUUCAACCCCAUGAAGAUAUCCAAGUGUUGUGCAUUAGAGGGCACAGAGGCCCUUCUUGUCCAACAUGGCUGGGUGAUGAGUUUGCUGUUGAAGGUCUACAAUCUCUUUAUCUUUAUGGUGUUUCUUGGGAAAUUUUCCCUUCUUUAGGGAAGGCGUGGGAUCUUCAUGAACUAAGGUUGGUGGAUAUUGCCAGACCGAAGGUGUUUGUUAUAGAGAAAAGCUUUUGCAUGCUAAUAAAGCUUGAACUCAUUGGCCUAGCAAGUUUUGAGAAAUGGGUUCUCCCAGCUGAACAUGCUCAUAUGUUCCCUCUUUUGCAACGGUUGACUAUAAGAAAGUGCCCGAGAUUAUUGGGGUUGCCUUUUUCAAACCACAUUGCUUCCCCAUAUUGGUUUCCCAAACUACAACAUGUUGAUAUACAGGACUGUCCAGAAUUCUCGUCAGUGAUUCCCAUCUCCUGGGUUGAAAGGAUUGAAAGUCUGCGUCUUGUCACGAUUAGAAGCGUCAAGCUACUAAAGUGGUUUCAAUACUCAAAAUCAGCCGAUGGAGUAAAAUUGGCAAUUUUUGGAAAAUGUGAUCUAUAUAGCUUAGAUCAAGUGUUAGUUUUUUAUAAGGAGGCAGGCCUUGAGAAGCUAGCACUCAAGAGGUGCCCACCUCUAGAAUUGAAGCACCUUCUGAUGCUAACCUCGUUGAAGACAUUGUUUGUAGAAGAAUCAGAUGGUCUGGUUGGACCACUAGGUGGCCAGGGUGAUGUGGAAUGGCAGCUCCCUGUUGAGCAUAUCAAGAUCGAGCGCUUAAACGGUAAUAGUGGGAAGGAAUUGACAGAGCUCCUCCCCCAUCUCCCAAGGCUCUCCAAAUUGGAAAUAAAGUUUUGUGGCAACAUAAAACAGCCAGUGCUGCUACAAACAACAGUGAUGGAGAAAGAUGAAAUAACAGCAGCAGAACAGGAAGAGGAUAAUGGGGUGGAUGUGCAACAAACAACAUCAGAAGCAUCAAAGAUGGGAGGAGGUGAAAUAACAGCAGCAACAGAGGAAGAGGAUGAGGAAGAUGAAUUGACGACAUCAGAAGCGGAAGCGGAAGAGGAAGAGGAAGAUGAAUUGACGGCAUCGGGAGAGGAAGAGGAUGAGGAAGAUGAAUUGAAGUCAUCAGAAGAGGAAGAGGAUGAGGAAGAUGAAUUGAAGUCAUCAGAAGAGAAAGAGGAUGAGGAAGAUGAAUUGACGGCAUCAGAAGAGAAAGAGGAUGAUGGGGUGCUGCUCUUCCCAGCUCAUCUCUUUGACUUACUACAGGAGUUGGUCAUCUAUGAUUGCCCAGAGAUGGUCCUGAUGAACCCACCAACUCUUGUUCCUGGAGGAGGAUGGUUCCAAGCCUUGAGAUCUCUCCAGAGAUUAAGUAUACAGCUCUCCCCAAAGUUUCUGUCUGCCUUCUCGUUUUCCCGUCACCUUUUCCCUUCCUCCCUGCAGUUUGUGGCGCUUUGGGGUGUGGAAGACAUGGGGACACUGGAGCCCCUCUCAAACCUCUCCUUUCUUACCAGAUUGGAAUUGAUUGGUUGCGGAAAAGAUCUGAAAUGUCAGGGCUUGCGCUCUCUCCUUACCACCAGGGGCCAGCUCGACGAAUUAAGAGUCUUUGGCAGCACUAUGUUCUUUGCUGGUUGGGAUCCCAAUCCUAGGCGGUCUUUGGGGGGUGUCGAGGGAGAAGAAGAGCAGCAGACACAACUUGUUUCAUCCACACUGCAGAAGCUCAGCACUGAUGACGCAGCGGGACUCCUUGCUGCACCCAUCUGCAGCUUCCUCUCUUCCUCCCUCACCAAGCUGGAACUUCAUGGGGAUGGGUCUGAAGGGAUGAAGUGCUUCAGCAAGGAGCAGGAGGAUGCCCUUCAGCUCCUCUCCUCCCUCCAGCUACUUAAGUUUCAUGGUUUCAACGACCUUCAACAACUCCCCGCAGGGCUGCGCAACAUUACCAGCCUCAAGAUAUUAUCAAUCGAAUUCUGUCGAGCCAUCUCAUCGUUGCCCAAGGAUGGCCUCCCUGAUUCACUCCAAGAGCUACAUGUCAAAUACAGCUGCCUGAAGCUAACACUGCAGUGCAGGGGGUUAGAGGGAAUCAUCCCAGAAAUCGAUAUACGCUGA